rnacentral:misc_RNA from 1 species
UAUUCGGUUGGCAGAGGGCACAAUUUAACUAAAGGUCUCUUAAUUAUGUGAUCUCUAGUUUUUAAAGUAGCUACUCGAAUCACUCCAUCAGGCCCAGGGUGUAAGGAGACUACUCGUCCUAAUGCCCAUUGGAGUGGAGGUCGAUUAUCAUCCUUAAUAAGCACGAUCGAAUUUACGGUUAAUUGUUUUGAGUCUUUAGUCCAUUUUGCCCGCUGAGUUAACGCGUGUAGAUAUUCGUGUUUCCAACGUCUCCAAAAUUGCUGUUGGAACGAUUGAAUCAGUUGCCAUCGGCUUAGACGAUUAAGAUUAACAUUAGAGUAAUCUGGAUCGGGAACCGCCGUAAGAGGUUCCAGCGU